GUUAGAUUUAUUGUGACUUUUACCUGCCCUUGUUAUUACUCGUUAUACUCGUUUAUGAACUUAUCGUGAUUUUAUUGUAGACUUUAGUGUGAUAUUCUCGAUAGACUAUUCGUUCGUGUGACGCGUGCACUGCGUUGUUUGUGUACUACGGUGGAUUGGAUUAUUAUAGUUGUACGUUCUGCUACUACUCAGUGUGUUCUUUACUGUUCCUGCUACCCCCCGUCACCUACUACCAUCAGCCGCCGCAUUGCGGGAGUCCUGCUCGCAGGGGAAGUUUCCUGAUGUCAUUCCCGGAAUUCGCAUCCCUGAUGGGAAGACGCACUUACAGUCCACGCAUCCUCAAUGGUUCACACCAAAGUUGGCGCCCAAAACGCGGGAACUUUGACCUCGCUGAUCGUCAGGCAGGACACCAGCCGGCUCAGCUCCUGUCGAAGGGACCAGCGGGUUAGCCCUGAUUCGGGGUAAAAACAUCGCCUCUGGUUACCGCAUCCGGAGUAGCCAAGCUUCGGCAUCCAGCAACUGGUCGGCAAGUCGCAUCUCUCAGCAACCCUUUGGACGUGUCAACGGCAGGGACGUAUCAACCAAGCGGCCAGACGUCUUCACUGAUCGUCGGGCAGGCAUCGGAUCGUCGGGCACUCUUCACACCCGGCUCAUCUUACCUCCACUUUCGGCGGGACCCGGGCAUGCUCUCCCAACUGACCGGCGGAGGCAUCUAGACAUCGUCCGGAUAUCCUGAAGAUCGAGGCACAUCUAUCCCUACAACCAUGCAAUGAGGGCGACACGGUGACCUGGCAACCGCGCAUCAUCACGGCGCUUCAUGGAUGGUGACAAAUAUCAACAUUGGGCAUCGCGAGGACUGAACGAGGCGCUUCUGAGUCAGCGGAAUGUGUCGGACGGGUAUGGCAUCUGGAGAUUUUUCAAAGCGGCAGCAGAUUUCUUUGUAGUAGUUUUAAGAACCGAAAUCGGGUACUCGUAACCGUUUUGUUUAUGAAUUAUUUUGAGUAAAUUUUUUUUUGAGUACCACGAGAUGCGCCAGGUCAGGACUACGGCGGAAAGAUUUCAUAGAUUUCUGGAAUUUUGUUACAUGAACGGAACGCCUAUGAAACCUCUCGAACCAAAGUUCUGAUCGGGUGCCGGCAGAUGUAAAAAUGUAGCCGCUUUAUUUAUUAUUUGUUUGUAAAAAGUCAUAUUUUUUAUUACCUUUCAAUUAAUGUUUUUUACGCUAGCCUUCUUUAUUUAUAAUUUUUUAACCUACUUUUAUUUUACUAUUUUUUUACGAUGAAACGCUGCACUUGCUACGCAAGGGCCUUUGCUUCGAAAGGGAUGGUUAAAUCAUUUUUUUUCUCGUUUUUUUGCCUAAGGUAGAAGGUUGUAAUAGAAUGGGGCCAUAUCACUACGUUUUAGGGCCACAUUCGCUAUGGUGCGAUGUGCCACAGAUGUGCGCAUCACGCUCAAGAUCACCAUGGAAAUCUGGAAAAUGCACUACAGUGUGUGCACCAUGCACCAGCUAUGAUCACAAAUUUUAAGUCUCUUUUAUCUAGGUAGGUGAAAUCUGCCACAGGCUGGUUAAAGUACUACCUACUUAAUGUUUACUGCCAACUGAUUUUUAACUAUUAUAAAACAAACUA
rnacentral:lncRNA from 1 species